AUUGAACGCUGGCGGAAUGCUUUACACAUGCAAGUCGAACGGCAGCACGGGUGCUUGCGCCUGGUGGCGAGUGGCGGACGGGUGAGUAAUGCAUCGGAACGUGCCGUAUAGUGGGGGAUAACGCAUCGAAAGGUGUGCUAAUACCGCAUACGCCCUGAGGGGGAAAGUGGGGGACCGUAAGGCCUCACGCUAUACGAGCGGCCGAUGUCCGAGUAGCUAGUUGGUGGGGUAAAGGCUCACCAAGGCGACGAUCGGUAGCUGGUCUGAGAGGACGACCAGCCACACUGGGACUGAGACACGGCCCAGACUCCUACGGGAGGCAGCAGUGGGGAAUUUUGGACAAUGGGGGCAACCCUGAUCCAGCCAUUCCGCGUGAGUGAAGAAGGCCUUCGGGUUGUAAAGCUCUUUUGUCAGGGAGGAAAUCCUUAGCGUUAAUACCGUUGGGGGAUGACAGUACCUGAAGAAUAAGGACCGGCUAACUACGUGCCAGCCGCCGCAGUAA
rnacentral:rRNA from 1 species